UACGUAGGGGGCAAGCGUUGUCCGGAAUCAUUGGGCGUAAAGAGCGUGUAGGCGGCUCGGUAAGUCCGCUGUGAAAGUCCAGGGCUCAACCCUGGAAUGCCGGUGGAAACUGUCGAGCUAGAGUCCGGAAGAGGCGAGUGGAAUUCCUGGUGUAGCGAUGAAAUGCGCAGAUAUCAGGAGGAACACCAAUGGCGAAGGCAGCUCGCUGGGACGGUACUGACGCUGAGACGCGAAAGCGUGGGAGCAAACAGG
rnacentral:rRNA from 1 species